rnacentral:tmRNA from 1 species
GGGGCUGACAAAGCUUAGACGGAUUAUUAACAGAUGCCAGGCGUGUCGAUUGAAUACCGUAAGUAUUAAUAAGUGUAAAAAACACGAAAACUGCGCAUGUUGCUUACAUGCCAGCUUUUGCCUAAUUUAACUUAGGCUGGUUUACGUCCAAUUUCUCGUAGGUCGUAAAUUAUUAUAUUACGAGGCUAAGGUAGUUCUUCCGGCAAGGAAUUAUUCGAAAAUUUUGCCACGGCAGCCGCUCGUUCUGUUUAUCGCAGCUGGCGGCAAUUGCUAAGACGAAACGAUAGACUAUAUACGUAGAAUGGUAUCCAGGUGGUAUUUCGGACCCGGAGGCAGUAUCCGGCAGCUCCACCA